rnacentral:misc_RNA from 1 species
AUUAUUUUAUAAUGCACUAGCAGCUCUUGGAGCUGAUGCGUGCAUAUCACUGCACUUAUGUUCUCUCUACUUUAGUUUUUAAAUGUUCAUCCAGUCUGUUUUUAAAAGUGUUUACUGAUGGUGCACCAAUCACUGAUUCUGGGAGCUUGUUCCAUUGGGUAACUACGCGAUUUGGCAAAAAGUGACAUCUGGGUUUGCUAUAGCAAGGAGAUCUUGUAAGUUUUUGAGAAUGUCCUCUUAAUUUUGGAUUUGGAUUCAUAAUAUACAUGUCUUUAAAAUUCUUGAUAUUAUAAUGUCCAGUUAGAAUUUUGUAUGUUUCAAUGAGAUCUCCCCUCUGUCUACGUUGUUCCAAUGUACUUAAUCCAAGUUCUGAAAGUCGUUCUUCAUAUGUCUUAUGUCUUAGUGAGGUCACCAUUUUUGUAGCUCUACGUUGUACUUUUUCCAGCAUUUCUAUGUCUUUCCUAAAGUAUGGACUCCAGAUUUGGAAAGCGUAUUCUAGUAGUGGACGGAUGUCAGUAAUAAAGAUUCCAAAUAGGAUUGGUCCGAGC